CAUUGUGACCUUACCUAUGUUCUGUUGCCUCGGCGGCGUCGGUCAGCGCCCCUCUGAAAAGAGGACGAUGCCCCUCCCGCCGGCAGCACCAAACUCUUGAAUUUUACAGCGGAUUACAGUUCUGAUUUGAAAACAAAAAACAAGUUAAAACUUUCAACAACGGAUCUCUUGGUUCUGGCAUCGAUGAAGAACGCAGCGAAAUGCGAUAAGUAAUGUGAAUUGCAGAAUUCAGUGAAUCAUCGAAUCUUUGAACGCACAUUGCGCCCGGCAGUAAUCUGCCGGGCAUGCCUGUCCGAGCGUCAUUUCAACCCUCGAACCUCCGUUUCCUUAGGGAAGCCUAGGGUCGGUGUUGGGGCGCUACGGCGAGUCCUCGCGACCCCCGUAGGCCCUGAAAUACAGUGGCGGUCCCGCCGCGGUUGCCUUCUGCGUAGUAAGUCUCUUUUGCAAGCUCGCAUUGGGUCCCGGCGGAGGCCUGCCGUCAAACCACCUAACAACUCCAGAUGGUUUGACCUCGGAUCAGGUAGGGUUACCCGCUGAACUUAAGCAUAUCAAUAAGCGGAGGAAAAGAAA
rnacentral:rRNA from 1 species